rnacentral:rRNA from 1 species
GAUGAACGCUGGCGGCGUGCCUAACACAUGCAAGUCGAGCGAUCUUCUUCGGCAGAGAGCGGCGGACGGGUGAGUAACGCGUGGGUAACCUGCCCUGUACACACGGAUAACAUACCGAAAGGUAUGCUAAUACGAGAUAAUAUGCUUUUAUCGCAUGGUAGAAGUAUCAAAGCUCCGGCGGUACAGGAUGGACCCGCGUCUGAUUAGCUAGUUGGUAAGGUAACGGCUUACCAAGGCGACGAUCAGUAGCCGACCUGAGAGGGUGAUCGGCCACAUUGGAACUGAGACGCGGUCCAAACUCCUACGGGAGGCAGCAGUGGGGAAUAUUGCACAAUGGGCGAAAGCCUGAUGCAGCAACGCCGCGUGAGCGAUGAAGGCCUUCGGGCCGUAAAGCUCUGUCCUCAAGGAAGAUAAUGACGGUACUUGAGGAGGAAGCCCCGGCUAACUACGUGCCAGCCGCCGCGGUAAUAC